rnacentral:lncRNA from 1 species
GCGAAUCUGUAAUAAUUUCCUUAGGCUCAUCCAGAUUCGUCCUCACUUACCCAGUUUAUGGGGCAUAAAUUCUUAGAUACACAAUCUAUAGAAGAAUGUCAUUAACAACAUAAAUCUGAAAACAAUUUAUGUCCUCCGCUAUCUUACCGCUUCGGUUUCUCAAAACCUUGUCUAAGUAGUCUGGUUUGCUUAAGAGAGCUGCAGGGAACCCAGUGUCCGGGUUUAACAGCCCAUUGAGAGAAACGGGCCACGUGCUGGCUUGCGGAAAGCUGUUGCUUUUCACCUGGAGCCUGGAAGCAGCCCCUCUGUGCCGCUAAAACUUUUCAGAGUGCACAGGCGGGAAAGUAACAUAGUAGGGAAUGAAGGACUCCCUCUUGAUUCCUUACAGUUCUCUUUUGGUUCUCAAACUGACCUCCACACACAGAGGGCAGGGAGAGAUGGAAAAAACAGCAGCCACUUCCCAGAUGCGUGGGUGGCAGGUUUAAUCAGCCACGGAGCUUCCACACGAGUUUUGUCCCGCACAGCGGCAACUCCAGUAGGUCUCCUCAUCUGCCCGCCAGAAUCUUCCAAGUUCACCUACGGCACAGACGGUCUCAGCAACACGGCGCUCUCUCUAAGCUGUGUCCAUGGAAAAGGCUCCCCCGCUAGGAAUGGUGGGCAGAACGUGCAAGCGGAGAGGGGGCGUGACGAGCUUCCCAUUGCGCAGAUCCAGCUCUCGAGUCAACAAGCCGUCAUGUUCUCCCGAUGACCCCCUUCCAAUACUCUGCCCCCUCGUGCGGCCUCGAGGUCAAUUCGUUAGAUUCUGGCAGGCAGGUGCAGAGGUCUACUCCAGCUGCGGGCGCGCAGGACAAGCCCCACACCCGAGCUCUCCGGCUUGUUAAGGCGACCACCUACUGGUCUGGAGUGGCUGCCUCCUUCCUCCGUCUCUCGCUGCCCUCUGCGUGGGGGGGUCAGAUUCAGAUGACCCCAGCGAAGUUUCUGAGGCUGAGAAAACAUUUCCACCCACGUAAAACACAAGUGCGGAAGAGUAAAGAGAAGAAAAAGGAGCAUAACAGCACCAUGUACACCACCAGAAGAUGUGGCAAAGGGAGAGCACUCAAGAACACGGUUGCUAUGAAUGGAUGGGUUUUCCCAAGUCCUCUCCUGAUGUUUGCUUCCCCUGAGGAUGGUAAUUUGGUGGUCACAUCCUUGUUGAGAAAGCUGAGCGCGAUGGAAGGCCAUUGAAGGCAAAUGGGGAGCAGCACCUUUGUUCAAUCUUUCUGAAAUUGUCACUGACAUGUAGAGGCUACAGUUGAGUGGGUGAUAAUAAAAGACAAAUGCAGGAU